rnacentral:lncRNA from 1 species
AUGGUUCAUCCGCUAAACUGCAUUGUCAAUGUUUCCCAGAAGAUGGGCAUCAUCAGGAAUGGGGACCUGCCCUGACCUCAGCUCAAAAAUAAAUUCGAUUCCAAAGAAUGACCACACCCUCUUCAGCAGAGGGUAAAGAAAAUUUAGUAUUUUUAAUUAGGAAGAACUGGUUCUCGAUUACUGAGAAGAAUCAACCUUUAAAGUAUAUAAUUAAUUUAGUUGUCAGUAGAGAAUCCAAGGAACCACCGCAAAGACCUCCUUUUCUUGACUAAAGUCUGGGUGAUGCCUUAAAACGUAUUGAGCAACUAAAAUUAGCAAAUAAACAAGACGUGUUUUUUACAGUGGGAGGCAGUUCUGUUUAUAAGGAAUCCAUGAAUUGAGACCAUUUUAAACUAUUUGUGACAUGGAUCAUGCAGGACUUUCAAAGUGACACGUUUUUUUCCCCUAGAAGGUGAUUUAGAGAAAUAUAAACUUCUCCCAGAAUACCCACAAGGUGUUGUCUCUGAUGUGGAGGAGGAGAAAGGCAUUAAGUACAAAUUUGAAGUAUAUGAAAAGAAUGAUUAA